rnacentral:rRNA from 1 species
UUGAUUAGAUCUCAAAUCAGGUAGGACUACCCGCUGAACUUAAGCAUAUCAAUAAGCGGAGGAAAAGAAACUAACAAGGAUUCCCCUAGUAGCGGCGAGCGAAGCGGGAAGAGCUCAAAUUUAUAAUCUGGCACCUUCGGUGUCCGAGUUGUAAUCUCUAGAAGUGUUUUCCGCGUUGGACCGCACACAAGUCUGUUGGAAUACAGCGGCAUAGUGGUGAAACCCCCGUAUAUGGUGCGGACGCCCAGCGCUUUGUGAUACACUUUCAAUGAGUCGAGUUGUUUGGGAAUGCAGCUCAAAUUGGGUGGUAAAUUCCAUCUAAAGCUAAAUAUUGGCGAGAGACCGAUAGCGAACAAGUACCGUGAGGGAAAGAUGAAAAGCACUUUGGAAAGAGAGUUAACAGUACGUGAAAUUGUUGGAAGGGAAACGCUUGAAGUCAGACUUGCUUGCCGGAGCUUGCUUCGGUUUGCAGGCCAGCAUCAGUUUUCCGGGGUGGAUAAUGACGGUUUGAAGGUAGCAGUCUCGGCUGUGUUAUAGCUUUCCGUUGGAUACGCCCUGGGGGACUGAGGAACGCAGCGU